rnacentral:rRNA from 1 species
GAUCAUGGCUCAGAUUGAACGCUGGCGGCAUGCCUUACACAUGCAAGUCGAACGGUAACGGGCCUUCGGGUGCCGACGAGUGGCGAACGGGUGAGUAAUGCAUCGGAACGUACCUUUCAGUGGGGGAUAACGUAGCGAAAGUUACGCUAAUACCGCAUAUUCUGUGAGCAGGAAAGCAGGGGAUCGCAAGACCUUGCGCUGAUUGAGCGGCCGAUGUCAGAUUAGCUAGUUGGUGAGGUAAAGGCUCACCAAGGCGACGAUCUGUAGCGGGUCUGAGAGGAUGAUCCGCCACACUGGAACUGAGACACGGUCCAGACUCCUACGGGAGGCAGCAGUGGGGAAUUUUGGACAAUGGGGCAACCCUGAUCCAGCCAUGCCGCGUGAGUGAAGAAGGCCUUCGGGUUGUAAAGCUCUUUCGGCCGGGAAGAAAUCGCAUGGGUUAAUACCCUGUGCGGAUGACGGUACCGGCAUAAGAAGCACCGGCUAACUACGUG